UGAUAGUACCUUACUACAUGGAUACCUGUGGUAAUUCUAGAGCUAAUACAUGCUAAAAACCCCGACUUCGGGAGGGGUGUAUUUAUUAGAUAAAAAACCAAUGCCCCUCGGGGCUCCUUGGUGAAUCAUAAUAACUUAACGAAUCGCAUGGCCUUGCGCCGGCGAUGGUUCAUUCAAAUUUCUGCCCUAUCAACUUUCGAUGGUAGGAUAGUGGCCUACCAUGGUGGCAACGGGUAACGGGGAAUUAGGGUUCGAUUCCGGAGAGGGAGCCUGAGAAACGGCUACCACAUCCAAGGAAGGCAGCAGGCGCGCAAAUUACCCAAUCCCGACACGGGGAGGUAGUGACAAUAAAUACUGAUACGGGGCUCUUUUGGGUCUCGUAAUUGGAAUGAGUACAAUCUAAAUCCCUUAACGAGGAACAAUUGGAGGGCAAGUCUGGUGCCAGCAGCCGCGGUAAUUCCAGCUCCAAUAGCGUAUAUUAAAGUUGUUGCAGUUAAAAAGCUCGUAGUUGAACCUUGGGUCUGGCUGGCCGGUCCGCCUCACCGCGAGUACUGGUCCGGCUGGACCUUUCCUUCUGGGGAAUCCCAUGGCCUUCACUGGCUGUGGGUGGAACCAGGACUUUUACUGUGGAGUGUUCAAAGCAGGCCUUUGCUCGAAUACAUUAGCAUGGAAUAAUAGAAUAGGACGUGCGGUUCUAUUUUGUUGGUUUCUAGGACCGCCGUAAUGAUUAAUAGGGAUAGUCGGGGGCGUCAGUAUUCAGCUGUCGUGAAAUUCUUGGAUUUGCUGAAGACUAACUACUGCGAAAGCAUUCGCCAAGGAUGUUUUCAUUAAUCAGGGAACGAAAGUUAGGAUCGAAGACGAUCAGAUACCGUCGUAGUCUUAACCAUAAACUAUGCCGACUAGGGAUCGGGCGGCAUGAUGACCCGCUCGGCACCUUACGAGAAAUCAAAGU
rnacentral:rRNA from 1 species